CCUACGGGAGGCAGCAGUGAGGAAUAUUGGACAAUGGACGAGAGUCUGAACCAGCCAAGUAGCGUGAAGGAAGACUGCCCUAUGGGUUGUAAACAUUUUUUAUAUGGGAAUAAAAUGUUACAUGAGUAGGAUCUUGUAUGUACCAUAUGAAUAAGGAUCGGCUAAGUCCGUGCCAGCCGCCGCGGUAAUACAGUGGGUCCGAGCGUUACCCGGAUUUAAUGGGUUUAAAGGGAACGUAGGUGGUUUGUUAAGUCAGUUGUGAAAGUUAGUGGCUCAACCGUAAAAUUGCAGUUGAAACUGGCAGUCUUGAGUACAGUAGAGGUGGGCAGAAUUCGUGGUGUAGCGGUGAAAUGCGUAGAGAUCUGGAAGAACUCCGGUGGCGAAGGCGGCUCACUGGAC
rnacentral:rRNA from 1 species